rnacentral:tRNA from 1 species
AUCAGUAUGGCAGAUUAGUGCAAUGAACUUAAGAUUCAUAUAUAAAUUCUUAUUAUUUUGCUGAAA